CCCCCAACAGGCGAGAAGCAGCCGCGUCCACAUGGCUUCAGGUGUUCACAUGGCAGUAAACGGGCCCCUGCUCUCCUGGGCGCCCCAGCGCGGCGCCCUCCCGCCCACAUCCCGGCCCAGCCCCGCUGGCCUCGCCUCCAGCCCGUAGCCAAGAGGCGAGCGCGGCCGGUGCCCCCGGGGCUGCCAGGGGCCCCGAAGCAGGCGGCGCUGACUCCCGGACGCCGCCCGCUCACACCCGCCGCCUUUGCACCCAAGGCCUCGCGCGACCAGCAGGUCACUGAUUCUACUACCAUCUGUCAGCGUGGAUUGAUUGAGGAGACUGGCCCUGCUCGGCAGAUCAGUGACUUGUGCGAAGUGAGCCAGGGUGUCGGUGCCUUCAGAGCAGGCGGAUGUCCUUCCUCACUUGCCAGCUCUCGUGAGCAGACACACAGCCCUCACCUUUAUCCUUCACCAAGCUCCAGCUCUCCUUCCUCUUGGGAGGCGCCGCCUGCUAACUCAGUCACACCAAGAGGGAGGCCUGGAAUUCCUGCUCACAAGCUCGGGGCUUCAUCUGCAGUCUGCCAGGAGGCAACUUACAAAAGCCUCUGGCUAACAGAGCGGGAAACUCCCCACAGCCUCCUGCUGUGCCUGUCCCCAAGCCACGCACUGUCCCCUUGCAAAGCACAAGGAUACUGAGAGUGCACAAACAGCAGGGGUGGAGAGCCUCUGUGGGCACGCCCUCAUUCUGUGCCCUCAUUCCACAGGAGCCCCUGCUUUGUGCAAGUCUCUGAGCCCGCAUGGAGGGAGCAUGGGGGCUCAGAACAGUUCUUUCUGGGGCAAGGUCAGGGGAGGCUCUAAAGUUAUGGUGGUGGGGAGGGCCUUAAAACAGAGGACCAGAGAAUACCAAGACUUAGGGGUGUGGGGGAGAGCCACCUGCUGUGCCCAGGAGGACUGUGCCCAGUGCAGGGGAAAAAGAUGAAGCUGCGGAGUUGGGCAAGGGUGGGAUCCUGCAGGGCCUUAGAGCAUUGACAUGUUUGGCAUGGAUUUGUUUCACAGGGUCCCACAGAAACUUCUGCUCUCCAGGUUUGCCCCUCCACUCUGCCCUCCAGGAUAGAAGUGUGGCAUCCUAAUCUGGGAUGCAUCCAUCUCUCCCCCUGGACUGUGAGCAUAUGCAGGGCAGAGACACCUCUGCUUCUCUUGGGUCUCCGGCAUCCUGUGCAGGAUGGGGCCACUGAGGUGCAAAGAGUUUAACUUAUCCCAAGUCACACAGUUUGGAAGAGGCUGAGCUGGUAUUUGAACCCAGGUUUUCAGAGGCUGCACUCUUAACCACCAAGCUUCCCAGCACUCAGCAAACACUGGAAAGACAGAGAUGGACCUAGACAGUCAGUAGGACCAAAAGUCUGCAGGCCGAUAGGGAAAGAAUGUAAGAGGACGGCAUGGGCAGCGCCAGCCCCUCCAGCAGUCAUAUAUUAAGCCCUGGACACUGGGCAGCUCGGGCAGGUCGGGGGGCCUCAGACUCUCGGACCCCAUGCCUGGAAGACCACGGUCUGCCCAACAAGCAGCAGCUGCUGUGAAUCGACUUACACAUCUUCCCCACAGGUGAGCAGAGAGCUAACACCUGAGGAUAGGCCAAGAAACGGGAAGCCCGUGCAACCUGAGCGCACAGAUCACCCCCACCUGCCCGGCACUCACUGUCCCCAGUGGCUGGACUCUCAUCGGGCCAGUCACUGAGCUGGCGCCAGCCUGGUCUCACCAGUGUGUGUCUUUAAAUCAUCCAAUUUCUUCAGCUGUAAAUUGGGCUGGGAGGGGCCAGGUGAGCUGCCUGCCUCAGGGGAGUCGGCGCCCUUACCUGAGUGAUCCCAUUCACUCCUCACAACAAACCCAUGAGGCAGGGAUUGUCAUCUUCAUUGUACAGAGCAGGAAAUGGGUGCACACAGAGGUUAAGAGACUUGCCCAGGUCACACAGCUAGGAAGAGGCUGUGAUUUGAACUCAGUCUUCUGGCUCCAAAGCCCCCACAGAGUCACUCAGGGCACUACAAAGAGUUAACCUGAAUAUGAAAUGAUCUAAGAGUCGCAGUGACAAAGGCAUGCUCUAAGCGCUUUUCCUGCAGUAACUUGCUUAAUCCUUACAACAACCCUAUAAAGUGGGUACUGUUCUCGCCUCAUUUUGCAGAUGAGGAAACUGAGGCACAGAGCAGCUCGGAGGGGGCAGAGCUGAAUCUGACAGGCUACAGGGCCCCUGCGUUGCUUUGUUAUAAGAUGACAAUAAGGAAGUUCCUUUCCUUUGGGAUUAUUUCUGCCUGAAAGCUCAAGACUUUUAGCCACAUCAUUGUCUGGGCUCCACGGGAAGGCAGUGCCACAUGCUGAGGCAUGCUGGGAAAAGACUUUGUUCCAUCCUGUUUUGUUGACAUGCUCUUCAUUUUUAAGCCUGAAACCGAAGCUUCCUGCUAAGAAUUCAAACCAUGGAGAAAAACGCAGCCAUGAUAACGGCCACUACUUCCUGAGCCUCCAGUGUUCCCUGUGCUUGGGGAUCCAUAUAUGUCACUUAACCUUAACCUUCACAACACCAGGGCAGCCUCCAUUUUCACAAGUGAAGAAAUGGAGGCCCAGAGUCACUUAGAAGAUGCUCGAAGGUGCACAGCUGCUAAGUGGUGGUGCUGGGAUUUGUCCUCAGGUCCUCAAGAGUCCUGACUCUUAUGUGCUGGCUCCCCACGGAGGCGUGGAGUCUUGUUUGCUGGGCAUUUGACAGAAAUGUUUCUGCUCAUCUUCUGCCACAGUGACUCGGGGAUAGCUGCCCUGAUGCCAAGGCGAUUGUCUUCUGGAAGCAGCCACGCCGUGUGAGGUUCCUCAUCACUGCCCUGCAUCUCCCUGCGAGCUCUCGGGGAUAAUUGCAAAAUCACGUUUGAUUCCAGGGGAGCAGAAAGCAGCAGGAGCCGUGAAUUCUCCAACUCUUAACUGGUCCUCGACUGGAGCCACUUUUCCCUGCCCACCCAUCCCUGUGGCGGAUUCAUUACAGUUAUCCAAAGCCGGUUUUAACUUUGCUCCCCCUGGCUCAGAAGUCUGUCAGUGGGUCCUGAGCGGCUUCACCAUUCAAGUUUAUUCCUAUCAGCCUGGAAUACAAUGCUCUAUCUGGCUCCGCUUGCUUCUCCAAACCUUCUCUCCCAGGUCUCAUUCUGCCUCUCUGUCUAACUAGACAAGUUGGCUUCCUGUCCUGUGCCUGUCUGCUCCCUGCAGCAGGAAUGCCGUUC
rnacentral:lncRNA from 1 species